UCUUUAUCCAAACUUCAAUAAAUAAUGGUAAGUAGUGAUAAUCAGAUCUUAAAUCCAAAGUAUUGAAUACUCAAGAGAAUCCUAUUGAAUCAAAUAAUUCUUUUGACAUUGGUAUUGGAUAUUAAUCAAAAUUAGUCUUACAAUUAAUUAGAUGAUAAUUUCUAUAUGUCCACUUCUUUAUUCAAUUGCCAAAAAUAUCCUUCUUUGAAGGCAUGA
rnacentral:lncRNA from 1 species